rnacentral:lncRNA from 1 species
AGAAGUUGUCCAGGGCUCCCUGAGGGAGGCCAGCACAAGAGCUCUGCCAUAAAAGGACAUUGGACAGAAGUGAAGAGUCCAAUCAGAAACUCUUUUUGAGAGACUGAACGCAAAGCAUUCAGAGAGUCAGCAGGCUGGAGAGGCCAAGACACACACACGAAGAAGGCAGGACACUCUUCUCCUCCUGCGGUUGGACUCCAGGCUCUAUGACCUUCAAACUCCAGGACUUACACCAGUUGCCCCUGGGCACUCAGGACUUCUGCUUCAGACUGACAGUUGCAGGACAGUGCAGCAUUUUAUUUUAAAGAUACCCCACAACGUAGGUGGCCAGUCCUGCUGCAGAUUGAGAGCUGUACUAGCCUGGCAUGCAGACAGCAGCUUUAGAAUCAGAUCUGCCUUCUGGCGGCUUCCCACCUAGGAGCCAUGGGACCUUUGUGAAGUCACCAAUUGUGCUGUGGAUGCUUCAUUUGUGAAGGAGAACAGGACUGCCUUAUGAGGAAACUGAGGUACAGAUGGGAAACUUGCUCAAGUUCACACAGCAAUUAAGUGAUCAAGUCCAAGAGCAAAACCAGGCAGGCUGGCUCCAGAGCUCACGAUAGUCCACCACUGCUUUCCACCAUCACUACGGAAUCAAGUCCAUGAGGAUACUCACCUUAUGUCAGUUGCCUAAGUUGGAAAUUAUAGAAUCUUCAAAUUGGAAGGGACGUUAUCAUCCAAGAUUUCAACUUUCUACUCACUGCAAAAUCCCUUCUGGAACUUCCCAGAUUGAUGAAUUUUCAUCAGCUCUGCUUGAGUACUCCCAGUGACUUGGAAAAAAAACACUGUAAUAUGGAUAUGAAAUAUAAACUGUUCAUGGAUAAAUUAUUGCAUAAUAAAAACAUGCCUAAUGGCUACACUCCCCUAA